rnacentral:rRNA from 1 species
GACGAACGCUGGCGGCGUGCUUAACACAUGCAAGUCGAACGAAGUGGCGAACGGGUGAGUAAUACGUGAGUAACCUGCCCUCCUUGUGGGGAUAAGCCUUGGAAACGGGGUCUAAUACACAAUAAAGGGGGCUGGGCCCGCGGCCUAUCAGCUUGUUGGUGGGGGGAGGGCUUACCACGGCGGGGACGGGUAGCCGGCCUGAGAGGGUGCACGGCCGGAUAGGGACUGAGAUUCGGCCGAGACGUGUACGGGAGGCAGCAGUGGGGGGUAUUGCGCAAUGGGCGGAAGCCUGAUGCAGCGACGCCGCGUGGGGGAUGAAGGCUUUCGGGUUGUAAACCUCUUCCGCUAUCGAACGGGUAGGUGGAGAAGAAGCGCCGGCCAACUACGCGCAAGCAGCCGCGGUAAUAC